CCUACGGGAGGCAGCAGUCGGGAAUUUUGCUCAAUGGGCGCAAGCCUGAAGCAGCAACGCCGCGUGAGGGAUGAAGGCCUUCGGGUUGUAAACCUCUUUUCUCAGGGACGAUGAUGACGGUACCUGAGGAAGAAGUCACGGCUAACUACGUGCCAGCAGCCGCGGUAAUACGUAGGUGACUAGCGUUGUCCGGAAUUACUGGGCGUAAAGAGCGCGCAGGCGGUCGUGCAAGUCGAGUGUGAAAGCCCCCGGCUCAACUGGGGAGGGUCACUCGAUACUGCUCGACUUGAAGGCAGGAGAGGGAAGCGGAAUUCCCGGUGUAGUGGUGAAAUGCGUAGAUAUCGGGAGGAACACCAGUGGCGAAGGCGGCUUCCUGGCCUGCUCUUGACGCUGAGGCGCGAAAGCUAGGGUAGCAAACGGGAUUAGAUACCCGAGUAGUC
rnacentral:rRNA from 1 species